rnacentral:lncRNA from 1 species
UUUUUUUUUUUUUUUUUUAUCAGGGAGCUGGAUUCCUCGCUGCUCCUUUUUCUUUUUUUUUUUUUUAAGAUUUUAUUUUUUUAUUUAUUUAUGAGAGACACAGAGCGAGCAAGAGAGAGAGAGAGAGAGAGAGGCGGAGGGAGAAGCAGGCCCCAUGCAGGGAACCUGAUGUGGGACUCCAUCCAGGGUCUCCAGGAUCACGCCCCGGGCUGCAGGCAGCACUAAACCGCUGCACCACCAGGGCUGCCCUGGGGAUUUUUACUCUUAAAUAUUUCCCUGUACUCAGCAGACUUUCAGAAGAACAAGUCUGUAGGCAUCUUAUAAUUCUUUGAUUGCCAGCUGAAUUAGGCACCUCUUCCCUGCCAUACCCUACCCCCAUCUUUUUUUCCUGUGCCAUUAGAAAAGUCUUUUCACUCCCAUUUUACAGAAGAGGAAACCGAAUGUACCCAGUGCAUCAGGAUUUGACCAAGUAAAUGCUUUGCUGAUGGAUAGUAUUAGCAACAACAGCUAUACAAAUAUCUUUUGCUUGCAUCAUGUAAUACGGCUUUAUGUACAUUCUGUCAUCAUCAGUCACCAUUAGCAAAUAGACACUAAUGUCCCUAUUUUAUAGAAGAGGAAACCAUGGCUCUAAGAGGAUGAGUGAUUCUCAACAGUCACACAGCAAGUGCUGUUUAGACUUAUGAGGAAGCACUGUAUUGAUUCCAAGAAACCUGGGGGCAAGGGAGAAAGAGGUCCAUGGGGAGAAAAAGAGCCACCCUACACAAAAAGCAUUUUACAAAUAUUAACUCAAGAAUCAAAGCUGGUUACAGCAGAGAUUGGAUAAGAAUCCAGAUCUUUGACUCCUAGUCCAGUGCUUUUCCCUUUAUGCAAGAUGGUGGGAAGCAAGUCUAGGAUCCAGACCUGUCUGGCAGCCUUGAUUUGGGAUCAUAAGCCUGAGAGACAGCAGUGCUUUUAUUAAGAAAAAGAAGGGGGGUGUGGAGGGGAAGCAGCAUUUUCACUUCCCUGCACUUCCCUUAUCCACAAUAAGCACGUGCUACCUGUAUCAUCAGAAACAAAGAAGGGGAAGGCAAAGUCAUCCUUCUGAAAGGACCCUGAGGCUGGCCCUGGGGUUGCUCUGGGCUCCUCCCUGGCAUUUUUGGGUACUCUCUGAUCCAUCACCACAGGCCAUCUGGUCCAUCUUAUGGGCAGGGGGAUGGGAAGCAGGGCUGGGGAAGAAUUCUAGAAGUUCCUACUGAGACUGAAGUGAGCAGACACAGACACAGGAGUUCCCAGGUCCGUGAAACACCCUGACAUUGGAAGCUGAAUGCUGUAGGCCCACAUCUUUAAAAAAAAAAAAAAAAAAUUUAAGAUUUUAUUUAUUUACUCAUGAGAGACAGGGGGGUGGGGGGCACAGACACAGGCAGAGGGGGGAGCAGACUCCAUGCAGGGAGCCCAACACGGGACUCAAUCCCCGGUCUCCAGGAUCACACUGGGCUGAAGUGGCACUAAACCGCUGAGCCACCCGGGCUGCCCCCACAUCGUUUUUAGAAGGGGCACCCAUGACCCUCCAAAGGGUAAGAAUCCCAGAUCACAAUGAUGAACCAGAGCUUCAAGGUUGGGAUGACUGCUCAAACAAGCACCAAGAAACCUAAAAAAUCUUGUCUCCCUCUGAGAGUACCUGGCAAGGGUAAGAGAAGUAUGAAUAGAACAAGGUCCUGCCUCAUGUACAUCUCACAACAUUAAUUUGAAUUCUGCUUUUUUUCCCCCUGAGCCGAUCCUUUCCCCCAUUCAAAGCAGUAGGGUAGACAGGCAUAAUUAUUUACAGCUCCAAUCUCAGACACCCUCCUCUUUCUGCCUGGCCUGUAGUUGAUAAAGUACAGUUUCUGAUCCUGGGGGCAGUGUGUCCACAGCUUCUUAUCUGGUCUCCUUACCCAGGGACUAAGCCUCUGAUUUCCAUACUGUGGCCAACUUUCUUCCCAGGUGCUUCCUAAAAAGCCAGCUGCAAGUCUCAGCAAGCACUGAAUUCCAUUCUACCACACUGAUCCAGCUCCUACCAUGUGCUAGGUGUUAUGACGCAGUCACAGUUGGUGGAAUAAAUUCUCAGUGUGGCCUGGGAGACUGCAGGUUAAUGGCAGGACAGAUAACACUCACCUGUCAGGUUGGGGGAGGGAGAAACUGCACAAAGGUGAGACACCACCCCACCACCCCCUGCCUAGGAGGACAACUGAUUAACAGGCUCGGGAUUGAGGGGGUAGCUUCUUGGAGGUGCAACAGUAGCUCUGGAGCUGUGUAUGAAGGGGAAGGAUCCCUCUGCGAAGGAAUGGGGGAGGCCUUGUAGUACUGUAGGAAGGGCAGAGGCAGUAAAAUGCUGGGCAAGUUUGGGAAAUAGGCAGCAACUAGAGCCUGGGUUGUGGGGGGGGGGAGGAGGGGCAGAAAGGAAGGAGAGAAAC